GGCUUCCGAAGGUUUCAGUAGACUAUAAUUUGGAAUUUAAUUUCGAGUCUGGUUGGAUGCAUCUUCUUCGCAAUAUCUAAGGCUUCAUAGCUCUGUAGAUUUGCUACCGGAGAUAGUAAAACAAAUGGAUGGUGUUUCCCCUGCUUUGGAAGUAACUGAAUCCCCAUCAGAGUCGCUUCUCAAGAGUCUUUCCAUCCAUGACUGUCCGAAUCUCGAAAGCUUUUUACCAGCUGAAGUAACUUCCACAGAUAUCAUAUCUCAUUUCCAACGUACCGGAGAUAGUAAAACAAAUGGAUGGUGUUUCCCCUGCUUUGGAAGUAACUGAAUCCCCAUCAGAGUCGCUUCUCAAGAGUCUUUCCAUCCAUGACUGUCCGAAUCUCGAAAGCUUUUUACCAGCUGAAGUAACUUCCACAGAUAUCAUAUCUCAUUUCCAACG
rnacentral:misc_RNA from 1 species